GCGCAGGUAAUUUAAUGGCAAAACUUCGGCUGGCCAUGUCGGCAAUAACGGUUCGACUCCGUUUCUGUGCU
rnacentral:tRNA from 2 species